rnacentral:rRNA from 1 species
GAAAUGCGAUACGUAAUGUGAAUUGCAGAAUUCAGUGAAUCAUCGAAUCUUUGAACGCACCUUGCACCCCUUGGCAUUCCGAGGGGUACACCCGUUUGAGUGUCGUGAUAUCUUCAACCUUCUUGGUUUCUUGAUCAAGAAGGCUUGGAAUUUGGAGGCUUUUGCUGGCUUUCCUCUCAAAGCCAGCUCCUCUUAAAUGAAUUAGUAGGGUCUACUUUGCUGAUCCUUGACGUGAUAAGAUAACUUUCUACGUCUUGGGCUUUUGCAAACCUGCUUCUAACUGUCUCGUCAGAGACUGAACUAUCAUAUAUAUAAACCCUUGACCUCAAAUCGGGUGAGACUACCCGCUGAACUUAA